rnacentral:rRNA from 2 species
UACGUAGGUGGCAAGCGUUGUCCGGAAUUAUUGGGCGUAAAGCGCGCGCAGGCGGCCUCUUAAGUCUGAUGUGAAAGCCCCCGGCUCAACCGGGGAGGGCCAUUGGAAACUGGGAGGCUUGAGUAUAGGAGAGAAGAGUGGAAUUCCACGUGUAGCGGUGAAAUGCGUAGAGAUGUGGAGGAACACCAGUGGCGAAGGCGACUCUUUGGCCUAUAACUGACGCUGAGGCGCGAAAGCGUGGGGAGCGAACAGG